GAUGAACGCUGGCGGCGUGCUUAACACAUGCAAGUCGAACGGACAGACGAGGAGUUUGCCCUUCGCACGUUUGGCGCGCACGUGUGAGCAACACGUGGAUAACCUCCUUGUAAGCCUGGGAUAUCCAGGGGAAUCCGGAGCUAAUACCGUAUCUUAUAUUGCACCACAUGGUGCGAUAGUAAGAUACGGUUUUGCUGUCUCUUAUAGAUGGAUCUGCGCCGGAUUAGCUAGUUGGGAAGGUCACGGUAUACCAAGGCAACGAUGCGUAGCCGACCUGAGAGGGUGAUCGGCCACACGGGAAGUGAGGCACGGUCCAGACUCCUGCGGGAGGCAGCAGUAGGGAAUCUUCCGCAAUGGGGGAAAGCCUGACGGAGCAACGCCGCGUAAGUGAUGAAGGUCUUCGGAUCGGAAAACUCUGUUAUUAGUGAAGAACAAAUGUGUAAGUAACUGUGCAGGUAUUGACGGUACCUAAUCAGGAAGCCCCGGCUAACUACGUG
rnacentral:rRNA from 1 species